UGACUCCUAUGAAACUGAAGUUCCUCAAGUAUUGGCAAAACAUCCCUCUUUUGUAUUCCUUUGCUUUUGUUUUGGAUCCAAGGGCCAAGAUGAGAGGAUUUCAUAAUGUCCUCCAGGUUCUUUCUCAUGAUGUUGGUGUUGAUUAUUCUAAUUACUUCACUGAGGUAAGAGCUGAUCUGUACAAACUGUAUAACAAGUAUGAAAACAAGUAUGGUGCAGUUAGGUUGCAGAGGCCCUCCAACAUAUCAGGAUCAUCUGGUAAGAAAAAAAUGCUUGGGGUAAGAUAUAUGGAGCUGCUGGUACAAGUCCCUCUUCUCCUGCUCUUGCAUCAACAUCUUCUCCUGCUGUAUCUGUGCCUCUUGUUUCAGAGUUGGCUUCCUACUUGGACAGCGACACUGUCACAUGCUUUGAUGAUGAUUUUGACAUAAUAAUUUGGUGGCAUGAGCACAAACUGACAUAUCCCAUUCUGUCCAUACUAGCAAAAGAUGUUAUGUCUGUUCCAGUUUCUACUGUCUCUUCGGAAUCUUGCUUUAGUCUCACUGGCAGGGUGAUCGAGGAGCGUCGACGAUGCUUAGCGCCUCAUAAUGUGGAGUACUUGACCUGCGUCAAGGACUGGGAAGCUGCUGAUGCAAGGGCGCAGCAUGAUGUCGAGAAGUUGACGCGAGAUUUGGAGUUAAAGUUUGGCAUCAAGGACAAUGCUGAAGGGCAGGCUGCUGGAAAUGAGUCUGUCCCUGCCAAUGGCUAGUCAUGAGAAGUGAAGGCAAGGGGCCUAGGCAAGAGGCCAGCAGCAUCACCAAGUCAGCAGUAGUGUUUUGCAAUUUGAUCUUCUAUUUGUAAUGUACUAAUGAGUCUGCUGAACUUGAACAAUGUGAUGUAAUUUUGAACAAUUAUAGAGUUGGGCUGUACUCUUUUUCCCUUCCUAGGGUUUCUCACAAGGGUGAGUUUUACCUAGGAAGGUUUUUAAUGAGGCAGCAACACUUGAUCACAUAGAUCAAGUGUUAAAACAGCUCUAUAAUUGUGUUAUCACUUAUCAGUUAAGUGAUAUUUUGCUA